CGCAGACGAAGUGACCUUGCAAGCAAAGCAAAUCAUUCGGUACCCUUUGUGAUCAGCGUGACAUUCAGCAGGAGUGUUUCUACUGGGUCUGCAUCCCAAAGAGAUCUUAAAGAAGGGAAAGGGACCUCCAUGUGCCAAAAUGUUUGUGGCAGCCCUUUUAUAGUGGCCAGAAACUGGAAACUGAAUGGAUGCCCAUCAAUUGGAGAAUGGCUGAAUAAGUUAUGGAAUAUGGAUGUUAUGGAAUAUUAUUGUUCUGUAAGAAAUGACCACAAGAUGAUUUCAGAAAGGUCUGGAGAGACUUACAUGAACUGAUGCUGAGUGAAACGAGCAGGACCAGGAGAUCAUUAUAUACUUCAACAACAAUACUAUAUGAUGAUCAAUUCUGAUGGACAUGGCCAUCUCCAGCAAUGAGAUGAACCAAAUCAGUUCCAAUACAGCAGUAAUGAAUUGAACCAGCUACGCCCAGGGAAAGAACUUUGGGAGAUGACUAUGAACCACUACAUGGAAUUCCCAAUCCCUCUAUUUUUGUCCACCUGCAUUUUUGAUUUCCUUCACAGGCUAAUUGUACAUUAUUUCAAAGUCCAAUUCUUUUUGUACAGCAAAAUAACUGUUUGGACAUGUAAACUUAUAUUGUAUUUAACAUAUACUUCAACAUAUUUAACAUGUAUUGGUCAUCCUGCCAUCUGGGGGAGGGGGUGGGAAGGAGGGGAAAAGUUGGAACAAAAGGUUUUGCAAUUAUCAAUGCUGAAAAAAUACCCAUGCAUAUAACUUGUAAAUAAAAAGCUAUAAUUUAAAAAAAAAGAAAGAAAAAAGAAAAAAGAAAUACUUGUUGAGCCUUUUUUUGUAGUGUCUUGGAAAUGGAAACUGAGAGGAUACCCAUCAGUUGGAGAAUGGUUGAAGUUAUGAUGUGUGAAUAAAAGGAAAUAUUAUUGUUCUAUAUGAAA